UUCUUCUUCUUCUUCUUCUUACGAUUAUUAAAAUUGUUACCGUAAAAUAUCUAUGAAAAUAUUUCAUGAGUAAAAAGAUACCUAUUGCAUCUAUAUUUUUAAUUUCCUCAAAAAAAUUUCACAAAAAUUGCCCAAAUGAACCCAUUUUAAUAAAAAUCCUCUCUUAAACCUUAGGAGCUCUCUUCUUUUGAUCCGUUAUAGCCCAAAAUUUUUAAUUUAUGAUUUAAAACUUUAGGACCUUUCUUCUUCCUCUUUUUCUUGAUAUAGGGAAAACUUUGGUUUGAUCUUCUUACACCCCACCUAAUCGAUGGGUAGAAUAAUACUUGUCUAUAUCGGUUAGAUUUUUUAUAAUGGUAAAAGUUAGUCUCACUCGCCGGCCACCAUGGUCUUCUCGUCGACUUUAGUUUUAGAUCAACAUUUUAGAGAUUGCAUUUUGGAGAGUUAAUGAUAAACCAUAUUCAAAUUGCACUUUAAUUUCAAACCAAAUUUGUACUUUGAUUAGCGAUUGGAACUAAUUCUGCACUUUAAUUUCUGCUAGUGUUCAAAAGUCAAACUGAAUUUGCACUUCAAUUUCUCUAAAAUUGGUACUUCAAUUGCUUCUGUUUUGGGAUUUUAAGGUGAGCCAUAGUACUCACGAAGGACUACAUUGCUGCCCAGCCAUAUGGAAGGAAGGACUAUGCAUGGAAAAGGAUUAAUAAUGGAGUACUUCUGUAAGUGUGAUCGUACUCUUGACCAUAUAGUUGUUGAUUUUGUGUGUACUAUGACUUAGAAAUCCAUAAACAUAAGGGAAUAUUUAGUUGUAUAACCAUGACUGGAGUGAUUAACUUUUGCUUCUAAAAGACAAAUGUAGACACUCUUACUAUGAUCCACUAUGUUGAUUGUUGCUUGCUUUUUGAUCUAAUGUUAUUGUAAUAUUCUAUGUGAUCUUGCAACAUCAUCAUAAAUGUAAUUUUUGUAUCAUACAUUUGAUACCUCUUAUUGCUUAAUUUUUUUUUCAUACACGAAUUUUACAAUUAUUGUGAACUUCAAAUUUCUACAACUAAAGAAUCUAGUGCGGUUUGAAAAUUUUUGUGUCUAUAAAAUGUACCGGUGUGGUUUGGUGAUUUUCAGUGGCUCUAACGGAAAAAGAAUUCCACCAUCCCUUCACCCUUUCUAGUAAGCCAUCAUUAUCAAUCCACAUGAAUAGAACAUGAAAUAAGAUUUUUUUGUUCUCCAGCUUCCACACUAUAGUUCAAUUGGAUUAUGAUCUAAAGCAGUUUUAUUAAGCGUAUUCAAUAUAAUGAGGUUGAACUUAUUAUCCCAAUCAAUUUUUAAUAAAAACCUAUCCAACCUUGAGGGCUCAUCUAUUUCAUCUAUGUGCAACACUAAAAUCUCUAGUCCAUGGAGCUAUUUUUCUAUUGAUAACACUGCAUUGAACAUUGAGAAUUUCUACUUUCCAAUAUUAUCUAUUUCUUCAAAUUUGGAAUGAAUGAACUAUAAUCUUUGGAUGUUUAUGCACAAAUUAGAUGUGAAUAGGUGUUGCACAACCUUUUCUUGUUUUUGGUAUAAUGGUGUUUUCAAUAUAAAAUUACAUUCCUUUCUCUGUUUGAAAUAGAAAUGAUACUAGAUGCUAACUGUAAGACUCGAGAAUAAGUUGAUAUAAUCUAGCAGUAAUGAACUUAUUAUAGUUGAAUGACAUCAUUGGAAAUGUUGUAAAUGGUCUAUACCAGUUACUGGAAUACAUAAAUAGAAUGGACAUGAAGAAUGUACAGUCCAAAAUUACUAUCAACGGGCAACCACAAAAAUGGUUAGUAAAAUACAGUCAAAUGUCAAUGAGAGAAACAGAACUAACCUGGACUAUAUUACUUUCCAUGUUCCAAUGAACUUUGUUGGUUUGCCUUUUGCAGUAUCUAUCCAUUAUUAUCUUAGAAAUUAGCUUAUGCCUCUUGCCAGUUAAUACAAUUAAUAUACAAUUAAUAUAAAUACAAUAAUUUAUUUUAGUUUUCAUUGAACCUCUUCUUUCCAGUUAGUCAAUUAGUAUAAAAGUUGUAUCUUAGCUUAUAGCCAUUAAAGAGAUAAGAUAAAGUAUGGGUUGCUGCCCACUUUUUAUGUUAUCAGUUAUCAUUAACGCAUUGAAUUAUUGUGAAAUUGCAUUAUAGAAGUUUUGGGAUAUCUAUGCCACUACUACACUUUUAAUGUAUUAGUGUCAUUUCUUAUCUCAUAUUUAUGAUAAUAGUUGCCAUACAUCAGACUCUUAAUUGUGAGUUGUGAUAGCAAAAUGGUGGUACAAUACCCCACUUAUCAUAAGGAUGUUAAUACAUCACUCCACAUUUUCCAGUCUUAUUUUUUGUAACUAUGUUAUUUCUGUUACAAAUUCUCAAUGUUACUUUAAUUCUUUCUAAUCAUCUCUCUUGAAAUGAAUAGCCUGGUUUUGAUUCCAUAAGAAGCAUUGUUAUUUCUCAUGGUUUCACUAGCGUGCCUGUAUGAUCAUGUGGGCUGGUUGUUCUAGAGCCAAUGAGGGUAAGUACAUCAUAUUGUUUGAAAAUUAUAUUUCUGGCAUUGCAAUAUGAAUUUAAUUUCUGAGAUCCCUCCAGGUCUCCAAAAUCCUUAACGAUCGACGUUAGUGGUUUUGUGAUUGUCAUAUUAUUAUUGUUAUAAGUAUGCUACCUACUGUCAAUGGUGGAACCAUUGAAAUCCUUUACAUUCAGGUAUGUUACUGAACUGUUAUUUCUCAUGAUUGUGCAUUCACUCCCUAUAUCCUUCUUAUUGAACGUAAAUGUUUUUGCUUUUAGCAUUAUGCAUCAAUGACGUUGGCACCCUCCCUUGACUUCUAGCUCUUAUGGUAUAUAACUGUGAAGUAUGAUGGCAGUCUCGUGGUAUGGUUACAUUAUGUCUAGUGUUCUCUUCUAAUAUAAAUUUUAUACUCUGCUAAGUCCUAGACAAUAUGUAAAUUUCAUUUAUGAUGUUGGUCAAGUGUCACUUGAGUUGUACAGAAUGUGCCUCCUGCUAUACUUCUGACGUUUCUGCGGGAACAUCAAUCUAAAUUGUCAAACAAUACUAUAGAUAAUUAUGCUACCGCAGCCAUUAAAGUUGAUCCCUGCAGCCUACUUGGGGCUCGAGUUGGUAACUAUGGGGUCAAGUGAUCCUCCCACUUGCACACAUUGUUGAGCAUGAAGAGGCAAAUUCAGUUGAUUUAUUUAAUCUGCAUUGUUGGCAAUCCUAAACUGUUCUAAUUGGUCUUGUUUAGUGAUUUUUGUGGUUUCUCUUCAUAGUUACUGGUAAUGUGCUCCUUUUUUGCCUAUAGUUGUUGCAGGUCAUUAGGUUGGAAGUCUAUUCUCCUAAGGAUUCUAUAAUGCCAAGAGAUAUGUUUCUGCUGCAAAUAUGUAGUGGAAUGGAUGAAAAUUUUGGUUGAACCUACGCCAAACACAUUUAUACUACUAUUGAUGCUAAAUUUGCUGAUGACGCACCAUUGCUUCCAUCUGGGUUUUGCAUCAUUUCACUUGAAUUUGGAAAGAUUUAGUUGAAGGCUUACGGGGUUAGCUUGAGGCUACUCGUAGUAUUGAGCAUCGUGUGACAUCUCGCGACUCAUUUUCGGGGCAUUACACCAAUGAACUUCACACUAUUGGUGGCACCUCAAGAUCUAUUAUGACAAUUGCUUUUCAAUUUUCUUUAGAAAGCCAAAUGCAAGAGAGUGUUGCUUCGACGUAUCAACAGUAUGUUCGAAGCAUUAUUUCAUCUGUUCAGAGAGUUGCAUUAGCACUUUAACCAUCUCACUUGGUUUCUCAUAGAUUUCAUCAUUCACCAUUAGGGACUCUUGAAGUACAUACACUAGCUCGUUGGAUACUAUGUGUUGGAAAACUAAUCAUUUCGCUUUUCUUUUGGGCUUAGAUUACUAGUUUGUUGCAUAUUUUGGAUUAUUAUAAAUGAAAGAUUUUGUUUUGUGAUGCGUGUAUAUAAUUGUGUAUUAUAAUUUAUUAUAUAUACAUAUAUGAAAAUACUAAUUUACAAUAGGGGUGACUUUCAUCUAAACUGUUGCAAUAGCUAGCAAAAAAUGUAGCAAUAGAUUGAAAAAUCAUUCCAAUAGGUAUCCAAAAUAGUUGAAAUAGGUCAUGAAAAGCCUUUGCAAAUACAAAUAAGUGUUGCAAUACAUUUUUUAAAUGGUUGUAAUAGAGUAAUAAAAUUGUUGCAAUAGGGUCUAUUGCAACGGGUGACAACCAUUACUAAAUCUAAGUUAAUACGUCCCAACAGGAGUUGAACAAAACCAUUGCUAUAGGUAGGUCUAUCGCAACGGUUGGCAUAACCGUCGCAUAAACUGUUGUCAUAUGUCUAUGCCAAUGCUCAUAUAUAGGACGCCUUCCAAACCAUUUCGGUAGCUCUAUGGUAACGGUUUUUGAAAUGUCGCCAUAGGGGUAAUUUCGAGUAGUAAGAUGUGUAUAAACACACACACAUAUACAUAAACUACAACCUUAUCAUUUACAAGGGUAAUUACUUCUCGGAUAUCCAACCGAUAUCAUAACACGACCCUUGGCUCAAUAAUAUGGUUGGGAUAAACACAACAUCGAGAUCACUUCCUUAGACCCAUAUAAAUAUUCAAAACUCAUGUCUAUAAUCAUAUUUUUACAUCAUUUCAUAUCUACAAGUCGUAGCAUAUUCACGAGGCCUAACAUCUUUAUUAAUCAAAAAGCAUAUAUAUAAUCGUCUCAUGCAUGGUGGCAUCUCACAUGUAGGAGGCAUAAUUCCUCAAUAAGCAUAUCUCAUAACUCGGAGACAUAUCACAUCUAUGAGGCAUAUCGUGUCAAUAAGUCAUGUAUCAUGGUUAAGAAGCAUAUCGUCUCUAUAGGACAAUUUACGUAUCUAAGAGGAAUGACAUAUCUAAAGACCCUAAUAUCCCAAUAAAGAGCGAAAAACAUCAGUAAAGGCCCAACAUCAUAUCUAUGAGGAAAUAACAUCUCCAAUGGCCUAGUAUCUUUAGAGGAAUAUUACAGGCAUAACUUAUUAUCCGGGGGAAAAUACAUCACUAUUCAUUAAAGCACAAAGUAACCUCACACAAAGGUUAACUAGUCUAAACCGAGCCUAACCUCCAUAAAUAGAUCCACAAAGGCUAACAAAAGUCUUGGCCUUAGUGGGCCAGAUGAACCCACGUCUAAUCCUAAAUUUUCAUAUUUUGCCAAUUUAUGCGCCAAACUAGGCUAAGGUAUCUAGUUCAACUCUUGAUAUAAGGUAAGCCGCAACCAAUCCUAAGAUAAGAAUUUUAUCUAGAAUGAGGGAAUUCAAGUCAAUCCUACUCACAUUACACUUUAAAGAUUACUAGACUUAACCAACUAAGGUCAGUCAUACUAACCAUGAUUCCUACACCUAAACCACAUCCCAAGAAUGCCAUAGGAUUCUGAAAGCAUCCCAAACAUAUCACCUUAUAGUUCCAAAACCCUCAUUUAAUCCAAUAACUCUGAUAAUAAAGACUAACUUAUUCUACCCACAAUCAAACUUAACAUUCACAUUCACACGCAAUAUAAAUCACACAUCAUCCAUGAAGAAGAGCAGAUAGAAGCCUACCUCAAAGAUGAACUGCAAAACCUUACACCAUUCACCACGCGCCCAUCUUUGCUUCACAUUCCCUAAAAUGUCAUCACACUAUCAAAAAAGCAAGCUACUCGUCAAUACAAAUUUAAUGAUAUCUAUAUUGCACCAUUGUGCUUUGGGUCCAAAAAUGACACAAAAAAUCCCAAUUAGGUCCCACUUACGGAAAACACAUUUUUGAGGU